UACGUAGGGUGCAGGCGUUACUCGGAAUUACUGGGCGUAAAGCGUGCGCAGGCGGUCUAUUAAGACAGGUGUGAAAUCCCCGGGCUUAACCUGGGAACUGCGCUUGUAACUGAUAGGCUUGAGUGUGGCAGAGGGGGGUGGAAUUCCAGGUGUAGCAGUGAAAUGCGUAGAUAUCUGGAGGAACACCGAUGGCGAAGGCAGCCCCCUGGGCUAACACUGACGCUCAUGCACGAAAGCGUGGGGAGCAAACAGG
rnacentral:rRNA from 1 species